rnacentral:rRNA from 1 species
UACGUAGGUGGCUAGCGUUGUCCGGAUUUACUGGGCGUAAAGGGCGCGUAGGCGGUGCGGUAAGUCACCUGUGAAAUCUCCUGGCUCAACUGGGAGCUUGCAGGCGAAACUGCCGUGCUGGAGUGUGGGAGAGGUGCGUGGAAUUCCUGGUGUAGCGGUGAAAUGCGUAGAUAUCAGGAGGAACACCUGUGGCGAAAGCGGCGCACUGGACCACAACUGACGCUGAGGCGCGAAAGCUAGGGGAGCAAACAGG